rnacentral:rRNA from 11 species
CACAAUGGCUCUUAUCUACUAAAGGUAUUCACCAGUUCAUUUCAGAUCCUGGAAGCUAAGCAGGGUCAGUCCAGUUGAGUACUUAGAUGGGAAACCGCCAAUGAAUAUCAGGUGCUGUAUGC